rnacentral:rRNA from 1 species
UACGAAGGGGGCUAGCGUUGUUCGGAAUUACUGGGCGUAAAGCGCACGUAGGCGGAUAUUUAAGUCAGGGGUGAAAUCCCAGAGCUCAACUCUGGAACUGCCUUUGAUACUGGGUAUCUAGAGUAUGGAAGAGGUGAGUGGAAUUCCGAGUGUAGAGGUGAAAAUUCGUAGAUAUUCGGAGGAACACCAGUGGCGAAGGCGGCUCACUGGUCCAUUACUGACGCUGAGGUGCGAAAGCGUGGGGAGCAAACAGGG